rnacentral:lncRNA from 1 species
UUUUUCUUUGGCACCAUUUUAAGGAAGCAUUGAGGGAGACGGAAUGUGAAGAUGUAUCUUUACUUGUGUAGGAAGAAUAUUUUUACAGUUUUGAACCAUGAAUAUCAUAAAGAUACGGCUCUAAUUAGUAAUGCUGGGUGCUGUGGCACAUUCAAUCAGGCUCAUAGCAUAUUCAUUUUGAUAGAUCUUGUUUAACUGAAGAAAAGCAAGGUUCAUAUUGUUGCAGCCUUUUAGUUUUGAUCAAAAUAUCAAAGGUAUUUCAGCCUCAACUAGUUAUCUUAAUUGAUAUGAUGCACAGCAGAAUAUAUUGAUCCACAUGACUAGGUCUCAGAUCAAUUGUCCUUUUGAAAAUAAUAUUUACAUUUAGAAAGGACCUCAGAAACUCAUUGAAUCCAAAGGUUAAAAUUAAUUUCUCCUUAACAACAGUGAUUAGCUGGGUUCCUUAUACCUUGGAUAAUUUUAAAUUAAUCCAAAAUCUCCGAGAAGCUUUGUAAUGUUGUUCCUCAAAGCACAUCAGAGAGGCGAGUAGGUGCGGAAGAUGGUGCGGCCCAUUAUUUUAGCACAUUAGCAGAUGGAGAGAACAGAGUCACAAGCCAGUUGGGUGAUUUGGCCAAAACCACAGUAUCUACAGCGAUUACUGCAAUCCCAGAAUAGAGUUCUCAACUCCUACCUCCCAUCUGUUCUUUCAAGUGACUUCGGGAGCCAAUUAUCUGUUCUUUUGUAAGAAGAGUCUAUUGAUUCCAUUAGUAGGGAUGGAGCUGGCCCCGGGAAAGUUUGCUUAGACUUCCCCACUCCUGCACUUCUUGCUCCUACUGCAUCCCACCUUCCUUACCCACUCUCUUUGCCUCCAACCACAACAUUCUCAUCAGCUAGUCAAGCCUUCUGCUGUGAUGCUCCAGGGGAGGGGUAUGUGUACUCAGGUGGUAAAAGGAGCUCCUCCACAAGGGAAACAUUUGUUAACCAUUUUCUCUGUUGCAAACACAGCUCUGGGUAGUUUGUACCAUCCUCUCCUCCCAGCCUCAUUAGCGCUUAUUAGGAGGGGACCGUAUUUAAUCACGUACAUGAGAGAUGCUAUAUAAACAAAUUAAAGAUGGUGGUACUGGUGGUGGUAAGGCAGAAGGUUUACUGAACCUGAAAAAAAAAAAAAAACACACACACACACACACACACACAACUAGUUCCUGGCUUUGGUUGUUGCCACUAAACCUGUGUGACUUUGGUUAAUGCAUUUUCUUUUUUCUCACUCUGGACUUAAUUCUCUCACCAAGAAUACAGACAGGAGCACUAGACUAGAUGAACCCUCAGACUGUACUGACUCUAGAAUUAUAGGAGAAUGUGAUUGAACUUGUUCGGUCAGUGUGAGGGAGAUCACGUUUGCAAGAAGGCUGCUUUUCAAUUUUGGUUUCAUUUCAGCCAGUGUUCUCAACCCUGCCCAUAAAUCACAGUAACCCCCAAUCCUCAGGGCAUUUGAAAUUUCUCAUAUGAAGUCUGCUCAUUUGGGGGGGGGGUCCUCUGGGGCAUCUAUCCCUGUGUUUUUAAAGGGAACCGCGGGUGUUUCUGAUGGGUGGUUCUAGAUAGGUAGUUGUAGUGAGGAGUCACUGCUUUUAUCAAGGAAUUCCAGAAAAACCAGGGAAGAUACUUGGCAGAGACUCGAGGAUCUCAUGAGACUCGGCCACUCACGCCAUCUAUCUGGUCUCUCUGUGAGUCUAGACCCACCCAUGAGGCAGGCUGCCGGGCUAGGGAGAGUUUGGGAAAGCUGGAAAGGUAUUGAUUGUAAGACCCAAGUCGAAAGCUGUCUGAGAGGUCAGGUCUCAUUUGCUUUUAUCUCAUGCUGGUAUUUUCCCCUGCUGCCAAUUCAAGCCGGAUAGAGUUUUAAAUCUUCCCUUAAAGAACACCCAUUAAAGAUGAUGAAAUAGUCUGGCUUUCAGAUCCAUUCAGCCCCUCAAGCUUUAAGAUGACAUAACAGAGGCAUCAGCACUGUCUAAUUUUGUCUUUGGAGCUAAUUAAGUAUCCUGUGGGAUGCACUGAGUCCAGGAUGUUAUUUUGUGGAGAGUAAUGGACAGUCACUAAGGAUGAAUGAUUUUAGGUCCCCAGGCCAGUAUUAAUCUGGUUGUCUCAAGGUAAACACAUACGGUGUUCAAAAAUGCUCUUUCAUUUACCUCAAACAGCUAUGUUAAUCUGAAAAAAAUAUCCCCAAACCAAGUAUCUUUUGGGUAAUUUCAUGGACUUCCAGGAUGUAACUAAGCUUAUAAGAAACGCUUUUCCUUUUUCAAGUGAAAUUUGAUCUUUCCUUUAUCGCUGUCCAAGAAAACGGAGUCUUGUGUCGCUUUGAAAUGCCUGGCCUCUUACUCUCAACGAUCUGGGACAAGCAGUCGUCCCUAAUUGAAGAGGAGUCGUCACUAGUUUUAAAGCAUUCCAGCUUUUUUCACCUCUUGCCUGGUGUCUCACAUCCGAAGAAGAAAAUUUACCUAAUGGUCUUAUUCUGCAAUUAACGGAGAAGCAAUUAUUAAUCCCACCCUGUUUCUUCACAAUGUUUUCCUUUUGAUACCUUUCAUGUUUCGGGGGCUUCGAUUCAGGACGAAUGGAAAACACCUGCUGCUUUUCAGAACGGGAUCCCACCUGUGCUGGGCUUCCAGAGCUAUCAAAGAGUAAGCCUGUAAUUUCAAUACUUGUAGUUUGAACCUACGAGUUACAAAUGGAAGUCACAAUUCCUGUGGCAGGCGUUUUGUUAGGCUGUCAGGUAGCUCAUUUUGCUGCUGUUUCCUAUUUUUAACAUUCCCUUUACAUAAAUAAAAUGUAACACUGUGAAAAAUGAAACACCUGAACAAAACACACGAUGAGGUGCACCAGAGAGCACUCGCAGCAUUAGUCAUUUCAAGCAGUGGGUUGACGCAUGAUCUUCGCUGAAUAUUUCAGUGUUAGAAGCAUUACUAAGGUUAUAAACUGAGUAAGGAAAUAAAAUUGCUCUUGGUCAAGGAUCACCUUUUAGCAUUAAAUAGCUUUUGAAUAUUUAUGGGGAGCAUGUAAUACCAUACUGGUGUUUAAAGAUGAUCUCAGUAAUUUUUCUUUGGUUUCUCCUUUGAUUAGAACUGUGGGAUUUGAGGGUGGCUGGCUGGCUCAGUCGGUAGAGCAUGCAACUCUUGAUAGAGGGGUCACGAGUUCAAGCCCCACGCUGAGCAUAGAGCUUACUUAAAAAACAAAAAAACAAACACGGAAUUUCAGGUCUAGAAAGAACUUUGGAAUAAGGUUCGGAUAGCCAUCCCCUAGUUUACACAGUUGAUUCUUAACAGACCCCCCUCUAAAACCUUGAUCUGUUUUCUUCUGGUCUUGACAUCCUUCUACGAAGCUGUGUGUCUCCAGAUACCUGAAGAACCAGACUUUUCUAGUCAGUCUCAUAGUUAACCCAUCCCAAUUUUAUCAAAUAAAUUCUUAUUUGAGUGUUCUAAUUUUACUCUAGUGAAUUCAGAAAGCUUCAAGGUACAGCUCAAAAAGGACUCAAUAGAAUUUACCUCACAAAAUCUCAGUUGAUUGGAACAUGUUAUAGGGAACCAAGUUUGUGGAUUUGAACGCCACAAAAUGCUGGCUAAUUUUCUCUUGUGUGACCAUAACAGAUCCCUCUAACUUGUGAAAACAUGUGCCCUCAGCCCGGAGAGUGACCCUGGUGGCUGCUUCUGCUCAAUUUAUCAUCAGUAAAUCACGUCCAAUCCAAAGCUCAUUCUCAACUCACCAUGGGUCAGUCGCACAGUGGUGAACAUUCAUGCUCAAGAAAAAUUGCCUGUAGUUUCAGGACUGGGACUAAAACUUAGAACUUUUAUUCUCUGUCCAGUGGAUUUUCCAUCACAGUCUAACUCCUUCCAAGGACUCCUAAAGUAGUGAAACUAGCCAAGUCCCCUCAGUCACAUUUCUCUCAAACACAGAUACCUCAGGGCCGCAGAUCUAUCAUUGGUUGUGCCUUCACUUACAGAACCCAGCACCACCAGUGGAUGCACAAAGCCCCUUUAUUUACCUCUGAAACCAAGGCCCUGUCUGCUUAGCUUAAAAGGGAGACAAGGGUUGGGACAAAGAGGAAUGGGAGGGGAACGGGAAGUAGCACUGAGCACAACAAAACACCAGUGCUCUCCAGCUCUGAGUCACAUGCUGGGUUGUAAAAUGACUUAUAGCCCUGAAAAUGUUGGCGGAACACUCAGCAUAGAUCAUGCAUUUCAGGCACAUGAUACAAAUGCUUUUUGGCUCAUGAUUAUAGGCUAGCAAUUUCCAAGGCGCUAGAGCUGUUCCAAAUAAUUCGUUGUAUUCACUUUCUGUAC